UGUAAGGCUGUGUUUACAAGCCCAGCUACACAGCCUACCAUUCAGUAACUGAGUGCAGAGGAUUUCAAGGAAGAGGAAAUUUGGAGUCCACACCAACACACAGAACACUCAAGCGGCAGAAGUUCUUAGCUUCUCUGGUCCUUUCUCCUAACUAACUAAAUGCUAAGUGGAGGAAGUGAAGUCUGGGAAGACAAACUGCAUUUGAAGUUCUUUUGUUAUUUUCUAAAAAGUUUCCAUUGGAGUUAUUUAAAUGGUGGCUGUGUCACUUCUGUUUGAAAAGUGUAGGAAUAUCCUGCUGUGUGAAUUGGAGGACUUGAACAAACAGAAUAUGACUCUGUGAAUACUGAUUUAUUGCUCAACACAAUGGUGUCUUAAUUGAAGAGCCACCUGUAUAGCAGUGGCAGAAUUUAAUUAUUAGGUUUACCAUUUUAAAAAAAUAAACAUUGAACAUGUAAUUUUUUUAAUAUGGAAACUUGCACUAUUCUGCAUCCUAAAUAGAGAACAAGCUUGCUUUUUUGUUGUUGAUGUUCAUGUGUAAAAUAUAUGAGUAUUAUUAUUUU